rnacentral:rRNA from 1 species
AUUGAACGCUGGCGGCAUGCUUUACACAUGCAAGUCGGACGGUAACAGGCCGCAAGGUGCUGACGAGUGGCGAACGGGUGAGUAAUGCAUCGGAACGUGCCCAGUCGUGGGGGAUAACGCAGCGAAAGCUGUGCUAAUACCGCAUACGAUCUAUGGAUGAAAGCGGGGGACCGUAAGGCCUCGCGCGAUUGGAGCGGCCGAUGUCAGAUUAGGUAGUUGGUGGGGUAAAGGCUCACCAAGCCAACGAUCUGUAACUGGUCUGAGAGGACGACCAGCAACACGGGGACUGAGACACGGCCCAGACUCCUACGGGAGGCAGCAGUGGGGAAUUUUGGACAAUGGGCGCAAGCCUGAUCCAGCAAUGCCGCGUGCAGGAAGAAGGCCUUCGGGUUGUAAACUGCUUUUGUACGGAACGAAAAGGUUUGGGUUAAUACCCUGGGCCGAUGACGGUACCGUAAGAAUAAGCACCGGCUAACUACGUGCCAGCCGCCGCAGUAA